rnacentral:ribozyme from 12 species
AAACACUACAGCAACAAUGCAAGCACAGGCCCAAGUUUUUUUUUUGUUUUUUUUUCAUUUUUUCUGUUUUUC